rnacentral:rRNA from 1 species
UACGAAGGGGCGUAGCGUUGUUCGGUAGUUACUUGGGCGGUAAAGACGCACGUAGGCGGCCUGUUAAGUCAGGGGUGGAAAUACCUGGAGCUCAACUCCAGAACUGCCCUUCGAUACUGGCAGGCUCGAGUAUGGAAGAGGUUGGUGGAACUGCGAGUGUAGAGGUGAAAUUCGUAGAUAUUCGCAAGAACACCAGUGGCGAAGGCGGCCAACUGGUCCAUUACUGACGCUGAGGUGCGAAAGCGU